AGAGUUUGAUCAUGGCUCAGAACGAACGCCGGCGGCGUGCUUAACACAUGCAAGUCGAACGCGAAAGCCUGGGCAACUGGGCGAGUAGAGUGGCGAACGGGUGAGUAAGACGUGAGUAACCUACCCUCGAGUGGGGAAUAACUCCUCGAAAGGGGAGCUAAUACCGCAUAAGACCACGACUUCUGCGGGAGUUGGGGUCAAAGGUGGCCUCAUCGACUAGAGCGUUUGGGUACACAUUCUGAUGCGUCGGGAGAAUGUGUGCCCCAGCGCUUUAUCAGUGAAGCGAUCGCUUGAGGAGGGGCUCGCGGCCCAUCAGCUAGUUGGUAGGGUAAUGGCCUACCAAGGCGACGACGGGUAGCUGGUCUGAGAGGACGACCAGCCACACGGGAAUUGAGAUACGGUCCCGACUCCUACGGGAGGCAGCAGUGGGGAAUCUUGGGCAAUGGGGGAAACCCUGACCCAGCGACGCCGCGUGGGGGAUGAAGGCCUUCGGGUUGUAAACCCCUGUUCGGUGGGACGAACAUUUUCCCAUCAAUAGUGGGAAAAUCUGACGGUACCACCAGAGUAAGCCCCGGCUAACUCCGUGCCAGCAGCCGCGGUAAUACGGAGGGGGCAAGUGUUGUUCGGAAUUACUGGGCGUAAAGGGCGCGCAGGCGGCUUGGCAAGUCGAGUGUGAAAUACCUCAGCUUAACUGAGGAAUGGCGCUCGAAACUACCUCGCUAGAGGGCGGGAGAGGGAAGUGGAACUCUCGGUGUAGGGGUGAAAUCUGUAGAUAUCGAGAGGAACACCGGUGGCGAAGGCGGCUUCCUGGCCCGUACCUGACGCUGAGGCGCGAAAGCGUGGGGAGCAAACAGGAUUAGAUACCCCCGUAGUCC
rnacentral:rRNA from 1 species